GCGGGCACAGCUCAGUGGCAGAGCAUGUGCUUGGCAUGCACGAGGUCCUGGGCUCAAUCCCCAGUGCCCCCA
rnacentral:tRNA from 1 species